ensembl:lncRNA
GGCGGGAAGGAGGGAAGGAACACCCACUGGCCGGGGCCGUAAGUCGCUUCGGAGUUUGAGAAAGAAAGGCGAGAGCAACAUGGCGGAGACUCGACUCCGGCCGGGCCUAGUGGAGGGGUCAGGCCGGGGCGGGAUCAGGCCUUAGCAACCGACAUCAGUCCUUAGCAACCUGCUGCAGGACCUUUUAUACCACCCUGCAGCUUCCUUCAGCCCGAAGACUACACAUCCCAGAGAGCCAUGCGGGUCCAGGAUGUAUGCAACGCGCAGGCGCCGGGGCAUUUUUGUCUUAUAUAAGGGCGGUCCGCGGCCUUUCUUCCUUUUUCCUCUCGAUUUGCUCCUUAGUUGUAAGGAAUCGUCUUCCAUCCGGAGUCAUCGUGGCCCCGGAAUGCCUUUUGGUGGACUGCUUCUGGAAGGAGGAGGAAGACACAUGGGAAUUUUGGAGAUGUUGGUGUUUGGGCACCAUGACCCCAUGCCCAUGCUGACUUCUCUUUUGGCUAGCUCUUAA